rnacentral:rRNA from 1 species
GUGUCAGCCGCCGCGGUAACACGAACUGUGCAAACGUUAUUCGGAAUUACUGGGCUUAAAGAGUUCGUAGGCGGCUUGUUAAGUCGGGUGUGAAAUCCCUCGUCUCAACCGAGGAAUUGCGUUCGAAACUGGCAGGCUUGAGUGAGAUAGAGGUGAGCGGAACUGAUGGUGGAGCGGUGAAAUGCGUUGAUAUCAUCAGGAACACCGGUUGCGAAGGCGGCUCACUGGGUCUUUACUGACGCUGAGGAACGAAAGCUAGGGGAGCGAACGGGAUUAGAAACCCGAGUAGUCC